CCGACCUGACCCGGGAGCUAAACCAAUCACAGGCCAGGCCUAAGCAGAAUGGCCCCGCCCACUCUUUUUCGGAUCCCUUUUUAUGCCGCUGGAAAGACGUGGCCGUGUUGGGAAGGUUGGGGCUUCGGGACCGAGAAAUGGGGAGCGUUUGCAGACAGGAUGCCGGUUAAACGUUGGAGAGAAUGGGGAUGAGGAGGCUAGAGCUGUAGCUGAAGGAGCAGAGGUGUUACGAGGAGAGCACUCUGGAUGUACUUCGUGACGCGAGACCGUGAGGGGGGUGACUCUGUCAUAGAGGCGGAGCGGGCGCGCAGCGCUUAGCUCCAGGGGUUAGAGGUCCCGCUCAGCCGACAGCUCUCGCAGCGGACCACCCGGAAGACAGUGCGGUGAGAGGCAGAUGGGGACCUCCUCCGAGGGGCCCUCGAGGACCCCUGGCCUUGGGCCUGGCGGGUGAGGUGGGGGGGCCUGGGGACAGUCUGAGGACUGUGUCCUGCAGAGCUCGAGAGCCCUCGCCACUGCCGCCCGCUGGCCGGGCCCGGGCCUUGAAGCAGACGGGAACCUCUCCCCCAUCCCUGCCUCUGGGACCUAAUGGCGGCUGUGGUCUCCAUGGGUCAAAGUCCGCAGGACCCUGCCUCUGUUUGCGCUGCCAGAGGAGCCUGAAGUCUGACUGGGGCCGGGGCACCCGGCUCCCUCAGUGAUGACAGCUGGGCAGGGUCUGGAGGCCUGGCCCUGAGGGCGCCGCCAACUGAGAUCCACCUCUUCAGCCAGGCCUGGGCACUGGGGGAGCAUCUAGUCUGGGUGCUGGACCAACGCUCCUGGGCAGGGUAAGCGGCCUGCGCAGGGACCCCCUCCUCUUAGCCCGGGCCUGGACCUCUGAAAGCUGAGCCUUGGGACCUUGCCCUUUCUUGUCAGAACAGAGAAUAACAUUUGUUUUGGUGGAGGUUUCCAGGAACGUCGUGACCUGACCUCAAGAACAAGGGAUCUGAUAGCAAGAAGUGUGCAACAGCUAACCACACCCCUCCCUCACCUUUCCUGUAAAAGGGCUUUGCUGAAAGCUUUCAGGGAGUUCAGGGUUUUUAUGGCAUGAACCACCGGUCUCUUUGCCUGGCCCUGCAAUAAACCUUUCUCUGCUCCAAA